GUCGAGAAUAAUUCACAAUGGGGGAAACCCUGAUGGUGCAACGCCGCGUGGAGGAUGAAGGUCUUCGGAUUGUAAACUCCUGUCAUCUGGGAGUAAGACCUGACGGUGAAUAGCCGGCAGGGUUGGUAGUACCAGAAGAGGAAGGGACGGCUAACUUCGUGCCAGCAGCCGCGGUAAUACGAAGGUCCCAAGCGUUGUUCGGAAUCACUGGGCGUAAAGGGAGCGUAGGCGGCGUGGUAAGUCAGAUGUGAAAUCCCGGGGCUCAACCUCGGAACUGCAUCCGAUACUGCCAUGCUUGAGGGCUGGAGAGGUAACUGGAAUUCUCGGUGUAGCAGUGAAAUGCGUGGAUAUCGAGAGGAACACUCGUGGCGAAGGCGAGUUACUGGACAGCAUCUGACGCUGAGGCACGAAGGCCAGGGGAGCGAAAGGGAUUAGAUACCCGUGUAGUCC
rnacentral:rRNA from 1 species